ACGCUAGCGGCAGGCCUAACACAUGCAAGUCGAGGGGUAACAGAGAGAAGCUUGCUUCUUUGCUGACGACCGGCGCACGGGUGCGUAACGCGUAUACAAUCUACCUUGUACUGGGGGAUAGCCUUUAGAAAUGAAGAUUAAUACCCCAUAGUAUGUUAAGUUCGCAUGGACCUAAUAUUAAAGGUUACGGUACAAGAUGAGUAUGCGUCCUAUUAGCUAGUUGGUAUGGUAACGGCAUACCAAGGCAACGAUAGGUAGGGGCCCUGAGAGGGGGAUCCCCCACACUGGUACUGAGACACGGACCAGACUCCUACGGGAGGCAGCAGUGAGGAAUAUUGGACAAUGGAGGCAACUCUGAUCCAGCCAUGCCGCGUGCAGGAAGACUGCCCUAUGGGUUGUAAACUGCUUUUAUACAGGAAGAAACAUCGCUACGUGUAGCGACUUGACGGUACUGUAAGAAUAAGAUCGGCUAACUCCGU
rnacentral:rRNA from 1 species